AUUGAACGAUGGCGGCAGGCCUAACACAUGCAAGUCGAACGAGUGGCGGACGGGUGAGUAAUGUCUGGGAAACUGCCCGAUGGAGGGGGAUAACUAAUGGAAACGGUAGCUAAUACCGCAUCCCAUCGGAUGUGCCCAGAGGGGAUUAGCUAGUAGGUGGGGUAACGGCUCACCAAGGCGACGAUCCCUAUCUGGUCUGAGCGGCUGACCAUCCAAACUGGAACUUGGACACGGUCCAGACCCCGACGGGAGGCAGCAGUGGGGAAUAUUGCACAAGGGGCGCAAGCCUGAUGCAGCCAUGCCGCGUGUAUGAAGAAGGCCUUCGGGUUGUAAAGUACUUUCAGCGAGGAGGCGUUACUCGCAGAAGAAGCACCGGCUAACUCCGUGCCAGCAGCCGCGGUAAUUC
rnacentral:rRNA from 1 species